UACGUAGGGCGCAAGCGUUAUCCGGAAUUAUUGGGCGUAAAGAGCUCGUAGGCGGUUUGUCGCGUCUGCCGUGAAAGUCCGGGGCUCAACUCCGGAUCUGCGGUGGGUACGGGCAGACUAGAGUGAUGUAGGGGAGACUGGAAUUCCUGGUGUAGCGGUGAAAUGCGCAGAUAUCAGGAGGAACACCGAUGGCGAAGGCAGGUCUCUGGGCAUUAACUGACGCUGAGACGCGAAAGCGUGGGGAGCAAACAGG
rnacentral:rRNA from 1 species